rnacentral:rRNA from 1 species
UACGUAGGGUCCGAGCGUUGUCCGGAAUUAUUGGGCGUAAAGGGCUCGUAGGCGGUUCGUCACGUCGGGAGUGAAAACUCGGAGCUUAACUCCGAGCCUGCUUCCGAUACGGGCAGACUAGAGGUAGGCAGGGGAGAGCGGAACUCUUGGUGUAGCGGUGGAAUGCGCAGAUAUCAGGAAGAACACCGGUGGCGAAGGCGGCUCUCUGGGCCUUACCUGACGCUGAGGAGCGAAAGCGUGGGGAGCGAACAGG